rnacentral:rRNA from 1 species
AUUGAACGCUGGCGGCAGGCCUAACACAUGCAAUUCGAACGGUAACAGGAAGAAGCUUGCUUCUUUGCUGACGAGUGGCGAACGGGUGAGUAAUGUCUGGGAAACUGCCUGAUGGAGGGGGAUAACUACUGGAAACGGUAGCUAAUACCGCAUAACGUCGCAAGACCAAAAAGGGGGACCUUCGGGCCUCUUGCCAUCGGAUGUGCCCAGAUGGGAUUAGCUAGUAGGUGGGGUAACGGCUCACCUAGGCGACGAUCCCUAGCUGGUCUGAGAGGAUGACCAGCCACACUGGAACUGAGACACGGUCCAGACUCCUACGGGAGGCAGCAGUGGGGAAUAUUGCACAAUGGGCGCAAGCCUGAUGCAGCCAUGCCGCGUGUAUGAAGAAGGCCUUCGGGUUGUAAAGUACUUUCAGCGGGGAGGAAGGGAGUAAAGUUAAUACCUUUGCUCAUUGACGUUACCCGCAGAAGAAGCACCGGCUAACUCCGUG